rnacentral:rRNA from 1 species
UACGUAGGGUGCAAGCGUUGUCCGGAAUUAUUGGGCGUAAAGAGUUCGUAGGCGGUCUGUCACGUCUGCUGUGAAAACUCGGGGCUUAACCCCGGGCCUGCAGUGGGUACGGGCAGACUAGAGUGCGGUAGGGGAGACUGGAAUUCCUGGUGUAGCGGUGAAAUGCGCAGAUAUCAGGAGGAACACCGAUGGCGAAGGCAGGUCUCUGGGCCACUACUGACGCUGAGAAGCGAAAGCAUGGGGAGCGAACAGG